UGCUGUUGCCUGUAGACUCUGGAGCAAAGUUUCUUCAGUAUAGCUUGGCUUUGAACUGUGAUUUGAUUUUUCUUUUUUUCUUUUUUGUAAGGCAGGCAGGUUUCCAGUCGUGCUAGACAGCUGUGAAAGACCACUGCAUUGUGGCUGAGCUGCUUAGAAAAUAUCUUGACUUCUGUAUUAGAAGGGCUCCAUUCCAUGGGCUUCAAAUCACCAAGAGGGAGACUACUGCAAUUUCAGCUACAAUAGUCUGAUGGAUAAAUCCCUUAUCCCAUCCCGUUUGCUUAAUCCAGGAUUCUGAAAAAUGUUCACGUAUCAGAAAAGGUAAAUGUAAGAUUCUUUGUGUUUUCAUCCACCUGU
rnacentral:lncRNA from 1 species